GACGAACGCUGGCGGCGUGCUUAACACAUGCAAGUCGAGGGGGCCCGCAAGGGUCACCGGCGAACGGGUGCGUAACACGUGAGCGACCUGCCCCACUGCGGGGGAUAGCCGGCCCAACGGCCGGGUAAUACCGCAUACGUCCGCGGCUUAGAAGCCGACGGAGAAACCGCUAGGGCGGUGGGAGGGGCUCGCGGCCUAUCAGCUAGUUGGCGAGGUAACGGCUCACCAAGGCGAUGACGGGUAGCNGGUCUGAGAGGAUGGCCAGCCACAUUGGGACUGAGAAACGGCCCAGACUCCUACGGGAGGCAGCAGUGGGGAAUAUUGGACAAUGGGCGCAAGCCUGAUCCAGCAAUGCCGCGUGUGUGAAGAAGGUCUUCGGAUUGUAAAGCACUUUCGACGGGGGACGAUGAUGACGGUACCCGUAGAAGAA
rnacentral:rRNA from 1 species